GACGAACGCUGGCGGCGUGCCUAAUACAUGCAAGUAGAACGCUGAAGGAGUAGCUUGCUUCUCUGGAUGAGUUGCGAACGGGUGAGUAACGCGUAGGUAACCUGCCUGGUAGCGGGGGAUAACUAUUGGAAACGAUAGCUAAUACCGCAUAAUAGUAGAUGUUGCAUGACAUUUGCUUAAAAGGUGCAAUUGCAUCACUACCAGAUGGACCUGCGUUGUAUUAGCUAGUUGGUGGGGUAACGGCUCACCAAGGCGACGAUACAUAGCCGACCUGAGAGGGUGAUCGGCCACACUGGGACUGAGACACGGCCCAGACUCCUACGGGAGGCAGCAGUAGGGAAUCUUCGGCAAUGGACGGAAGUCUGACCGAGCAACGCCGCGUGAGUGAAGAAGGUUUUCGGAUCGUAAAGCUCUGUUGUAAGAGAAGAACGAGUGUGAGAGUGGAAAGUUCACACUGUGACGGUAUCUUACCAGAAAGGGACGGCUAACUACGUG
rnacentral:rRNA from 1 species